rnacentral:rRNA from 1 species
GACGAACGCUGGCGGCGUGCCUAAUACAUGCAAGUCGAGCGGACUGAUUAAGAGCUUGCUCUUAUGACGUUAGCGGCGGACGGGUGAGUAACACGUGGGCAACCUGCCCUGUAGAUCGGGAUAACACCGAGAAAUCGGUGCUAAUACCGGGUAAUAUCUGAGAUCACAUGAUCUUAGGUUAAAAGAUGGCUCCGGCUAUCACUACAGGAUGGGCCCGCGGCGCAUUAGCUAGUUGGUAAGGUAAUGGCUUACCAAGGCGACGAUGCGUAGCCGACCUGAGAGGGUGAUCGGCCACACUGGGACUGAGACACGGCCCAGACUCCUACGGGAGGCAGCAGUAGGGAAUCUUCCGCAAUGGACGAAAGUCUGACGGAGCAACGCCGCGUGAGUGAUGAAGGGUUUCGGCGCGUAAAGCGCUGUUGUUAGGGAAGAAACAGUACCGAACGAACUAGGUCGGUACCUUGACGGUACCUAACCAGAAAGCCACGGCUAACUACGUG